rfam:Geobacillus thermodenitrificans NG80-2, complete genome.
GGAACCUUUAAAUUCAGUCCUGUGAGGCUGAGAAGGGGUCGGAUGUAAAAAUAGAUGGCGUAUGCCCAUUUUGUCUGCUGGCAAUCAGCCAUGCCCCCGCUUCACAGGCGGGGGAUUUUUUUGU